rnacentral:lncRNA from 1 species
GAGGAAGCAGGAGGGGGCUUUGGGAGAAGCUCAUACUGUAAAUUGAUUUAAACUGCUGUUUUAGGAUCUUUGAGGUAGGGACUCAACAAGCUCCUACAGUGCUCUUGCCAUCUUUGAAUGCAAGCACUUUAGGCUAUUUUAAGCCUCUGCAAAAGGAAUAACAGAGCAGCAUGUAAAAUUUUCUCAGCUGACGCUCAGGGGAGAGGAAGCUGCAAGUAAGGAAGAAAUAGCCUUUGAAAAUUCCUGCCUCCUCCACUUCGAGCCUCCACCUCCGGGGUUGAAUUGCAUGACCCACUGUGCUCCUCGCAUAGCUGUGGAAAGACCCCUGAGGUACUUGGUGGAGAACUGCCAGAGCCAGGCAUCUGAUUUGGAAGAUGGUUGCUCAGCAUGAAGAUCACUCCUCACACAAGGGGAGGAGGUGAUCACUAAUACCUUGCUUUGCAUUAGUACAUUGCAAUCCCAAAUGAACAGGGGGUAAAACCCAGUCAGCUCCUGGCCUGCAAGUCUUUUCUUCUCAGUCUCUACAUCCCUUUGGAAUGUCAGUGUAUUCAAGGAACCUUCCUCUGCUUUGGUUUGUCUUUUGCAGACUCCAGCUGCACGGUUGCCUUGCAAAGCCAGGAAAUGGGUCUGUAGGACAUCUCUAUGAGCAAAAAGAGGACUGCGAAACCAUUCCAGAAGGAUUCCUGUCAGUGCCAGAGAGGGAGAGAGAUAUUGCAGUGGGAAAGCCCCUCCCCACUUAAAUACAGGAUCUGGCGCCUUGCUUUCCUUCUCACUAAGGCAUUCCAUCCAUCUCCAACACAAUGAGUAACGCAGCUUUGCUGUGUGAUAAACACUGUGACCUAGAUCUCCGGAUCACUCCCUGGGAGAACAAAUGUCCAGCCUACCUUGGAAAGGACGAACUGCCUGUCAAGGCAAAGGAAGUUGCAGGGUGACUCAGAGCCAGGGCACCCAGAUCCAGCCUCCUUUGGAAACAAGUAAAAAUAAAGGUCACCUUUAGAUUUCA